AUUGAACGCUGGCGGCAUGCCUUACACAUGCAAGUCGAACGGCAGCGGACCUUCGGGUGCCGGCGAGUGGCGAACGGGUGAGUAAUAUAUCGGAACGUACCUUUCAGUGGGGGAUAACGUAGCGAAAGUUACGCUAAUACCGCAUAUUCUGUGAGCAGGAAAGCAGGGGAUCGCAAGACCUUGCGCUGAUUGAGCGGCCGAUAUCAGAUUAGCUAGUUGGUGAGGUAAAGGCUCACCAAGGCGACGAUCUGUAGCGGGUCUGAGAGGAUGAUCCGCCACACUGGAACUGAGACACGGUCCAGACUCCUACGGGAGGCAGCAGUGGGGAAUUUUGGACAAUGGGCGCAAGCCUGAUCCAGCCAUGCCGCGUGAGUGAAGAAGGCCUGGUUGUAAGUA
rnacentral:rRNA from 1 species